UCUGGUCGUGCGUCCGUUCGUUCGUCCGUCCGUCCGUUCGUUCGUUCGUCCGUUCGUUCGUUCGUCCAUCUGUCCCGCUUCAGGUUAAAGUUUUUGGUCAAGGUAGUUUUUGAUGAAGUUGAAGUCCAAUCGACUUCAAACUUGGUACACUUGUUCCCUAUGAUAUGAUCUUUCUAAUUUUAAUGCCAAAUUAGAGAUUUUACCCAAUUU
rnacentral:lncRNA from 1 species